rnacentral:rRNA from 1 species
CACCUAUAAUCGUUUUAAUCGAUGGGGGGACGCAGUAGGAUAGGCGAAGCGUGCGAUUGGAUUGCACGUCUAAGCAGUAAGGCUGAGUAUUAGGCAAAUCCGGUACUCGUUAAGGCUGAGCUGUGAUGGGGAGAAGACAUUGUGUCUUCGAGUCGUUGAUUUCACACUGCCGAGAAAAGCCUCUAGAUAGAAAAUAGGUGCCCGUACCGCAAACCGACACAGGUAGUCAAGAUGAGAAUUCUAAGGUGAGCGAGCGAACUCUCGUUAAGGAACUCGGCAAAAUGAUCCCGUAACUUCGGGAGAAGGGGUGCUCUUUAGGGUUAACGCCCAGAAGAGCCGCAGUGAAUAGGCCCAAGCGACUGUUUAUCAAAAACACAGGUCUCUG